UUCGAGAGUCCAGGGUGCUGGGGUGGGUAGCAAACUCCACCACUGCUGGGAAGAUUAGGAUGGGCUAAUCAACUACAGCUACAAUAAUGUAACUAUUUCAUAGUCUGAAAAAAAAUCAUUAUAAUUAAAAUAUAUUUCCCUUUAUUUCAUAUCCUGUAUAGUUCUCCUCUGUCAUAUGGGCUUAACAUGUUUUCUUGAGGAGUGAUGCCAGAUUUAGCUUACUUACUACCUUGUAUCAACAGGUAGAGUUGAUAAGUCAACAUUGAUAAGUUUAUCGAUACUCUCAACUGAUACCUACUUUAAGAUUGCUGCUUGCUAUAUUUUGCCUGAAUUCAAUAACAUAAGGCCAUUUUACUGACUGUGAAUCUAACUCAGUGGCAGAGCAUUUGCCUGUCACAGAGUCCUUGGCACUGCCAGAGAAAACAUUGAGAGUGUAUUCUCUUCUAGCUGGAGGUAGGUAUGAAUAAAAUUAUCCCAGCUCUAUUUUCCACAUUAAGUGCCUUAUUAUAUGAAAAACCUACAUCUAUGUGACUAUUUCUUCCACCCCUGUUUCCCCAUCUGUUAUUCUCAAGAGACGUGGCGUAUGAAGCCUGAGGAGAGGGGAAUGGAUUGGCGAUGACUGUAUUUGUUUCUGUCCCAUGGUGGAGACUCCUAAGUCCUCACAUGCCAUUUCUGAUGCAGUUUGCCUACCUCUCCCUCCAUGAUCAGAGUGUGGACUGCAGGGCAGAGGGACCACUGCCAGCUUCCUGACAAAAGCCAGGAUUGUGAAGACCACCCACAGAUGGGGUGCAGAAGGCUCAGUGUCAUCCAUCCCAGGGAACACACUGCUGAUGUCCUUGUGUGCCUGGAUCUAGAGCUAUCUUUUUGGCUCUUGUGUGUGAAGAAGCUGUCUUGGGAUUCUGCACCAGUGGCUCCUGGCCUCCUCCAGUCCUGCCCUGAGCAGACCUAGAGCCAUGACUUUCUGCCCUUCAUAUCUCUGACUUAGAAGACCUCUGGUUUGACAGUCCCUCAAGAAACUGCUUUCCAGUCUUGCUGUCUGCUUCCCUGUAAAUAUGACUGCAGUCCAGUAUACCCUGAAGCCCAGCUAUCCAGCAGAUCCCUGCCUGCCUUCUAUGCAGACACAGAGACUAGAGGAUGGAAAUGUUGUGCAUUCAUCUCAAAGUCACAAUGACAAUGGUGGUCCUCAAGAAAGCAACGGAGAGCCAGUGCUGGAGAGGCCGUGAGGUCCUGACCAUUGGGUUUCGUGGAAAGACCUGGAAGACGGAAAAAGAGGAGCAAACAUAACAUUUCAGUUAAAAAUACCAAGAUUUAAAAACUCAGUUUUUUAUAUUCAGAGUAAAUCGGUGUGUGUGUGUGUGUGUGUGUCUGUGUUUCUGUCAGUUUCCCUCUCUUUCCCCGCCCCCUCCUCCCUCCCCUCUCUCUGACCAAUCAGGCCUUGAAUUCACAUUGAUCUGCCUGACUCUGCACCCUGAGUGCUGGGAUAUAAGGUUUGCUUUCCCACACCUGGCUCAGAGUAAAUCUUUAAGUAAAGCCAGUUCUUUAAGUAAACGCAGGGCACUCUUUUUAAAUGGGUUCAUUGUUGUUGCAAGAGUCAGCCCUUUUGAGUAAAAGUCCAGCUAGUAAAUAAAAUGCUAUCAUUUUCCCCAAAUGCCAUUUUUUAAUUAUGCAUAUCCUUUUA